ensembl:lncRNA
GUCUAGUCAGGCUAUAGAUGGUGGUGUAGAUGAGGCUGGGUCUAGUCAUUUUAUAGAUGGUGGUGUUGAUGAGGCUGGAUCUAGUCAGGUUAUAGAUGGUGGUGUAGAUGAGGCUGGGUCUAGUCAGGCUACAGAUGAGACUGGGUCUAGUCAGGCUACAGAUGGUGGUGUUGAUGAGGCUGGGUCUAGUCAGGCUACAGAUGGUGGUGUAGAUGAGGCUGGGUCUAGUCAGGUUAUAGAUGGUGGUGUUGAUGAGGCUGGGUCUAGUCAGGUUAUAGAUGGUGGUGUAGAUGAGGUUGGGUCUAGUCAGGUUAUAGAUGGUGUAGAUGAGGCUGGGUCUAGUCAGGCUAUAGAUGGUGGUGUAGAUGAGGCUGGGUCUAGUCAGGUUAUAGAUGGUGGUGUAGAUGAGGCUGGGACUAGUCAUGUUAUAGAUGGUGGUGUAGAUGAGGCUGGGUCUAGUCAGGUUAUAGAUGGUGUAGAUAAGGGGGGGUCUAGUCAGGCUAUAGAUGGUGGUGUAGCUGAGG